rnacentral:rRNA from 1 species
CGCUGGCGGCACGCCUUAUACAUGCAAGUCGAACGAAGUAGCAAUACUUAGUGGCAGACGGGUGAGUAACAUGUAGGUAUCUUCCCUUUGGUGAGGAAUAACACGAGGAAACUUGUGCUAAUACCUCAUAAGUCUUUACAGAGAAAGCUUUAUGCGCCGAAGGAUGAGCCUGCACUUGAUUAGUUUGUUGGUGGGGUAAUGGCUUACCAAGACUUUGAUCAAUAGCUGAUCUGAGAGGAUGAUCAGCCACAUUGGGACUGAGACACGGCCCAAACUCCUACGGGAGGCAGCAGUAGGGAAUAUUGCACAAUGGAGGAAACUCUGAUGCAGCGAUGCCGCGUGAGUGAAGAAGGCCUUUGGGUUGUAAAGCUCUUUCGUCGGGGAAGAAAAUGACUGUACCCGAAUAAGAAGGUCCGG